AGUACAUUGGUCGAGUAUGUGUGA
rnacentral:siRNA from 1 species